rnacentral:rRNA from 1 species
CACCAAAGCAUUCUCUGGUGUUGAAGGCCCUGCAAAGCAGCAUCGCGGUGGCGGAGCGUCGUUUGCGACGCCCAACACACAAAACAAGCGGUGAGUGCUUUGGGGUGGGGUGACUGCGUACCUUUUGUAUAAUGGGUCAGCGACUUAUAUUCUGUAGCAAGGUUAACCGAAUAGGGGAGCCGGAGGGAAACCGAGUCUUAAUUGGGCGUUAAGUUGCAGGGUAUAGACCCGAAACCCGGUGAUCUAGCCAUGGGCAGGUUGAAGGUUGGGUAACACUAACUGGAGGACCGAACCGACUAAUGUUGAAAAAUUAGCGGAUGACCUGUGGCUGGGGGUGAAAGGCCAAUCAAACCGGGAGAUAGCUGGUUCUCCCCGAAAGCUAUUUAGGUAGCGCCUCGUGAAUUCAUCUCCGGGGGUAGAGCACUGUUUCGGCUAGGGGGCCAUCCCGGCUUACCAACCCGAUGCAAACUGCGAAUACCGGAGAAUGUUAUCACGGGAGACACACGGCGGGUGCUAACGUCCGUCGUGAAGAGGGAAACAACCCAGACCGCCAGCUAAGGUCCCAAAGUCAUGGUUAAGUGGGAAACGAUGUGGGAAGGCCCAGACAGCCAGGAUGUUGGCUUAGAAGCAGCCAUCAUUUAAAGAAAGCGUAAUAGCUCACUGGUCGAGUCGGCCUGCGCGGAAGAUGUAACGGGGCUAAACCAUG